CUUGAACGCUGGCGGGAUGCUUUACACAUGCAAGUCGAACGAGUGGCGGACGGGUGAGUAAUAUAUCGGAACGUGCCCAGUAGCGGGGGAUAACUACUCGAAACAGUGGCUAAUACCGCAUACUAUUGGAUCUGCCGAGAUCGGAGUAGCUAGUAGGUGGGGUAAAGGCUCACCUAGGCAACGAUCCGUAGCUGGUCUGAGAGGAUGACCAGCCACACUGGGACUGAGACACGGUCCAGACUCCUACGGGAGGCAGCAGUGGGGAAUAUUGUACAAUGGGCGCAAGCCUGAUGCAGCCAUGCCGCGUGUAUGAAGAAGGCCUUCGGGUUGUAAAGUACUUUCAGCGGGGAGGCGUUAUCCGCAGAAGAAGCACCGGCUAACUCCGUGCCAGCAGCCGCGGUAAUAC
rnacentral:rRNA from 1 species